GUUUGAUCCUGGCUCAGGACGAACGCUGGCGGCGUGCCUAACACAUGCAAGUCGAACGAAGCUCUGCGAUACAAGACUUCGGUCAAGUUGAACGGAUGACUUAGUGGCGGACGGGUGAGUAACGCGUGAGGAACCUGCCUUUCAGUGGGGGACAACAGUUGGAAACGACUGCUAAUACCGCAUAAUGUAUUCUGACCGCAUGAUCGGAAUACCAAAGAUUUAUUGCUGAAAGAUGGCCUCGCGUCUGAUUAGAUAGUUGGUGAGGUAACGGCCCACCAAGUCGACGAUCAGUAGCCGGACUGAGAGGUUGAACGGCCACAUUGGGACUGAGAUACGGCCCAGACUCCUACGGGAGGCAGCAGUGGGGAAUAUUGGGCAAUGGGGGAAACCCUGACCCAGCAACGCCGCGUGAAGGAAGAAGGCUUUCGGGUUGUAAACUUCUUUUACCAGGGACGAAGGACGUGACGGUACCUGGAGAAAAAGCCACGGCUAACUACGUGCCAGCAGCCGCGGUAAUACGUAGGUGGCAAGCGUUAUCCGGAAUUACUGGGCGUAAAGAGUGAGCAGGCGGUUAGAUAAGUCUAUGGUUAAAUGCAACAGCUCAACUGUUGUUCGCUAUAGAAACUAUUUAACUAGAGUGCGGGAGAGGUAAGUGGAACUCCAUAUGUAGCGGUGGAAUGCUUAGAUAUAUGGAAGAACACCAGAGGCGAAGGCGGCUUACCAGUCCGUAACUGACGCUCAGUCACGAAAGCGUGGGGAGCAAAUAGGAUUAGAUAUCCUAGUAGUCCACGCCGUAAACGAUGAGAACCUGAUGCAGGAGAUAUUCUGUGUCGAAGCUAACGCGUUAAGUUCUCCGCCUGGGUACUACGUUCGCAAGAAUAAAACUUAAAGGAAUUGACGGGCGCCCGCACAAGCAGUGGAGCAUGGGGUUUAAUUCGUCGAUACACGAAAAACCUUACCAGGGCUUGACAUCCCGCUAAAAGCCUUAGAAAUAAGGAAAUAGUUAUAGCGGUGACAGGUGGUGCAUGGUUGUCGUCAGCUCGUGCCGUGAGGUGUUAGGUUAAGUCCUCAAACGAGCGCAACCCUUGUCUUUAGUUGCCAUUAUUAAUUUAGGAACUCUAGAGAGACUGCCGGCGCAAGCCGGAGGAAGGCGGGGAUGACGUCAAAUCAUCAUGCCCUUUAUGCCCUGGGCCACACCCGUGCUACAAUGGUCGGUACAAAGAGAAGCAACACUGUGAGGUGAAGCAAAUCCCAUAAAGCCGAUCUCAAUUCGGAUUGAAGUCUGCAACUCGACUUCAUGAAGCUGGAAUUGCUAGUAAUCGCAGAUCAGCAACGCUGCGGUGAAUACGUUCUCGGGCGUUGUACACACUGCCCGUCACACCAUGAGAGCCGGUAAUACUCGAAGUCGUUAGCCUAACCGUAAGGAGGGCGGCGCCUAAGGUAGGACUGGUGAUUGGGGUUAAGUCGUAACAAGGUAUCCCUACGAGAACGUGGGGAUG
rnacentral:rRNA from 1 species